rnacentral:tRNA from 1 species
GCACCUCUAGCUCAACUGGCAGAGCAUCUGACUCUUAAUCAGCAGGUUCCGGGUUCGAGUCCCGGGGGGUGCA